rnacentral:rRNA from 1 species
CGGUGAAUACGUUCUCGGAGCUUGUACACACCGCCCGUCACACCACGAAAGUCGGGGGGUGCCCGAAGUGCCUACUUUUGCUAGGUCCUAAGGCAAACCCGGUGAUUGGGGUG